GCAAGAGUCUUCCAACAACCUUCUCAGCCGGAGUCUCCUGCGCCAAGGGCCACAUUCUGCGCCUUGUCCUCGAGAACCUCUCCCUUUCCGUUGAGUCCCUGGCCCUCCUAGCCAACCUCCGGCGCCGCUGUUAGCCAACCUCCAACAAGGCAACAAGAAUAGAAGCUAGCGCCAAAGCUGACGAGCCUUCAACCUCGGCGACACAGCCUCAUUGACCCCAUGGCUAUUCGGCGGGGUUUAAGAACAAGCCGAAGCCCCCCAUUAUCGUUACCCGUAAUAGCCCAGCGUGAUUUGCUCUCACAUCAUUAAAGUCCCCGAGUGGCGCCAAUGUUCUGGAAACCUUGUCAGAGUAUGAACGUCAGCACGGUCGUAGUGUUUGUGUGCUAUCUAGUGGCAAUGCCGUAGUCAACGUCACGUUACGCCAGUUGAGGGUUUCAUCUCCGGGAAGCAUUGUGGUGACAUUACUUGGUCAGUUUGAGAUACUAUCCUUGACUGGGACUGCAUUGCCACCUCCUCUCUUUUGUUCUUCAUGAAGGCAGAAAAAUUCCAUAGAAAUUCACGAAAAAAUUGAAGAAAUCUCUAACUUGGAACACGAGCAAUAAGUCGAAAUCGAUUUCAAGAGUAAAGAGUGUCAUUGAGCACUUGGAUGAGGCCUUUGCAUAGGAACCGGCAACCCACCUAGUACUAUGGAUAUGAGAGCAUUUCUGCUUCAAAAAUUAAAUCCCACGGGGCGUGAUCAGGAGUUUUGGUAAAUUGAUUUUGUUUCCAUACAAAAAUUUGGAUAACAAAAGAUAUUUUGGAGCUGAUAACAUGAAGAGAAAGGUUUACUAGACAAGCUCAAACUCAAAGUUUUGUAUUCAUUGGAGAUUUUCCAGUUCAUGAGGAGAAACUCUGUACAUGCUAAAAUAUGUAUUACAACAGAAUCUAAAGGUGGAUGCUGAAACUUCUAUAAAUGUUUGAACAUGCUGUAUGUUUAAUAUUUGCAAUGUUAUCAAUGUGUCUCAUAAUGCUCCUCAACUGAAGCUUUUC